CCUGAGGCUAGCAUAAACUGCAUGGAAGCACGGGACCCACAGGGACAAGGUCGGAGCUCUACCACACAGUGUACACUUUGAAACAACUCCAUUGUGUUUGUCAAUGAUCCUCAAUAGUAAUCAGAAAGCAGUCUGAUCUCCAGGAAAUCAUCAUGUUCCCUGCACCAAUUCUUGUGGCUCUACAGAUACUGGCAGAUCAGGCAUCCGGUGCUUGCAACACUCAUGACAAUAGUGCAGAGCUGUGCAGGCUCCAUACUUCUGUCAGAGAUGGCAGACAGUGACAAGUCCCAUGCAGGAACUCGAAUCCCAUCUCCAGUACAGAAGUGGCCUGUCAAGGAAACUGAGGCAGAAUUUGCUGGAUGAUGUAAUGGGACUGUAACCUUCAAGUUAAACUAAAGAUAAGUGUCCCUGUUAUGAUGACAGCUUGUACAUUUAUGGGAUUUGAAACAGACUCAUGAUCCAUUUUUCAGCAUCCUGCCUCCAACAGAGGACAAUGCCAGAUGUCUCACCAAAAGGCUAUCUAGAUAGAGAAGCACAUGCAGUUGCUGUAUGGUUGACAUGGCUGCAUACUUCAAAGGGAGAAGCACCUGCAUUUUAGAAGUAUUUCUUUUAAAGAUAAAUUGUGCUUGUCUGCAUAUAAACUCUGUGAGGUCAGCAGAUGACAGAUUCAUGUGCUUGUUUAAUAUGAAUUGUAAUCAGUAAGGACCAGAGCUUGUUCACACUGGAGUUAAGAAGAGUUUGGACAUUAACUUCAUUGAGAGCAGGAUUCAGUGAUGAUAAUACCUUGCUCUUAUGUAGCACUCUCCAUCAGGAGAUCUCAAAGUCCUUUACAAAAGAAGUAGUAUUAUGCUAAUUUCAUAUAUGGGGAAAAUGACUUGCCUAAGGUCACUCAACAGGCCAAGUUGGGGGCAGAAGCCAGGACUCCUAAGCCAGUAUGCUAGCUACUAGGCCACACCGCCUCUCGCAGAUAAGUGAAUACAAACUACUCAGAAAUUGCUUACAUUUCUGUCUUUUCUUUUUAAAGGGCCUUAACAAACAGUAAUAAUGGCCCAGGUAUAUCUGCCAUGACAAUGCAUGGCUGUUCCAUAGCAUAAAACAUUUCAAGGGUCCUAAAGUGCUUUGUCCAUUUAUUAAAGCAAGACUCAGGACCACUAAAGCCAAUGGAAGUUUUGCCAUUGACUUCAGUGGAAGGAGGUUCAGGCCCUAAACCUCUCAUCCCCUUGAGGUUGGUGCUAUUAUAUGUAUCUGACAGAUGGGUAAACUGAGGCACAAAGAAUAAGGGCCUGAUUUUCAGAGGCACUGAACACCCACAAUUCCAGCUGAAGUCAAUGGGUGCUCUAGGUGGUUAGCACCUU